AAGUCGUAACAAGGUCUCCGUUGGUGAACCAGCGGAGGGAUCAUUAGAGAGUGCCCUACUCCCAAAACCCAUGUGAACUUACCUGUACGUUGCCUCGGCGGGGGAGGGGCUGGCCACCCCCCCUCCGCCAGGCGGCCCACCAAACCCUGUUUAGCCCUGAAUCUCUGAGACGAUAAAACAAUGAGUUAAAACUUUCAACAACGGAUCUCUUGGCUCUGGCAUCGAUGAAGAACGCAGCGAAAUGCGAUACGUAGUGUGAAUUGCAGAAUUUAGUGAAUCAUCGAAUCUUUGAACGCACAUUGCGCCCGCCAGUAUUCUGGCGGGCAUGCCUGUUCGAGCGUCAUUUCAACCCCUUAAGCCCUUGUCGCUUAGUGUUGGGAGCCGACGGCGUCCUGCCGUCGCUCCUCAAAUCCAGUGGCGGAGCCGGUUUCGCGCUCUGGGCGUAGUAGAUUUUCUCCAUCUCGCCUGCAGCCGGGGCCGGCCUCCCUGCCGUAAAACCACCACCAAUGUACCCAAAGGUUGACCUCGAAUCAGGUAGGAAUACCCGCUGAACUUAAGCAUAUCAAUAAGCGGAGGAAAAGAAACCAACAGGGAUUGCCCCAGUAACGGCGAGUGAAGCGGCAACAGCUCAAAUUUGAAAUCUGGCCCUCGGGUCCGAGUUGUAAUUUGUAGAGGAUGCUUUUGGCGCGGUGCCUUCCGAGUUCCCUGGAACGGGACGCCUUAGAGGGUGAGAGCCCCGUACGGUUGGACACCAAGCCUCUGUAAAGCGCCUUCGACGAGUCGAGUAGUUUGGGAAUGCUGCUCUAAAUGGGAGGUAAAUUUCUUCUAAAGCUAAAUAUUGGCCAGAGACCGAUAGCGCACAAGUAGAGUGAUCGAAAGAUGAAAAGCACUUUGAAAAGAGGGUUAAACAGCACGUGAAAUUGUUGAAAGGGAAGCGUUUGCGACCAGACCUCUCCCCGGCGGAUCAUCCGGCGUUCUCGCCGGUGCACUUCGCCGGGCUGAGGCCAGCAUCGGUUUCCGCGGGGGGACAAAAGCGGGGGGAACGUAGCUCCCUCGGGAGUGUUAUAGCCCCCCGCAUAAUACCCUCGCGGGGACCGAGGACCGCGCUUCGGCAAGGAUGCUGGCGUAAUGGUCGUCAACGACC
rnacentral:rRNA from 1 species